GCGCGUAAAUUGCCCGAAUCCUGACACAGGGAGGUAGUGACAAGAAAUAACAAUACAGGGCUACAUCUAGUCCUGUAAUUGGAAUGAGUACAAUUUACAUCUCUUCACGAGGAUCAAUUGGAGGGCAAGUCUGGUGCCAGCAGCCGCGGUGAUUCCAGCUCCAAUAGCGUAUAUUAAAGUUGUUGCAGUUAGAACGCUCGUAGUCGGAUUUCGGGGCGGGCCGACCGGUCUGCCGAUGGGUACGCACUGGUCGGCGCGUCCUUCCUUCCGGAGACCGUGCCUACUCUUAACUGAGCGGGGGCGGGAGACGGAACGUUUACUUUGAAAAAAUCAGAGUGUUUCAAGCAGGCAGCUCGCUCUUGCAUGGAUUAGCAUGGGAUAAUGAAAUAGGACUUUGGUGCUAUUUUGUUGGUUUCGAACACCGAAGUAAUGAUGAGAAGGGACAGUCAGGGGCACUCGUAUUCC
rnacentral:rRNA from 1 species